CAGUGCUUCUCAGUAGCCAGGCUGCCCGCAGCGGUGGCCUCACAGACAGGUUGAAAAUUACACGGCGACUGUCGACUGUCGGAGCUGCCGGGCAGGGCUCUGGCGAGUGUCGCCCAGGCCCAACUCAGCCAAUCAGGAUAUCCUCAACCCCACCUGCUGCAGCAGGCUUUCAAGUGUUCAGGCCGUCCCUUGGCUCGCAUGCCCGCUCACGAGGGUCACCUUGCUCAGAGAUUGAUGUCCAGAGGGAGCCUAAUUGAAUCCACACUUACAUAUGCCAACUCCUCUGGCCAAGUGAGACAGCUAAAGCAAAGUUGUAUCUGGAUUCAACAAACAUACUAUAAUUCUUUAGCAAUUGCUCUCACCACCACGGUCAUCAGUGCAGUUGCAGCUCCUCUCUUUUGCAGAAGCCCAGCUCGACCCUGCUUUCUAACUGCCUUCUCAUUGCAUGAGAGGGGGUGGCUGGGGCAGCAUCCUGGACACGCUUUCUGAAGGCUUCUGCAUCAAAAACCAGCCUACCACCCGCUUGGCUUCUAGAAACGUGGAUGUGGGUUUUCCGGUGGCUCUCUGCUGACUCUGUUAGUUAUGCUGGUGAUGGUUUGUGCUCAGGGUACAAGUUAGAGACCUUUUAACCUUGGAAGCAGGCCUGGGAAGCAGAGGCUAGAAACAGGGUGCCACGGAUUCUGUGGACCACUUGGGACCUGUGGUCAGCACCCACCACAAACUGAGACCCACUGAGAACAAAAAGGUUGGAUGUUGAGCUCUUCCUGUUUCCAGAGGACUAGACGGAUACAUGCCAGGAAACAAAGUCUGAAGGCACCAUAGGGUGCAAGGACAACAGGGUCCAUCAUCUCUUCCUGCUGACAAAUACGUAAAGCUCUAACACCAUCCCUGGCCAUCUGUGCAAAGAGCCUCUCCCGGCACGGGCUCUGCGAAGACACCCUCAGAAGGCAGCAAAAGCACAUGGACAGCGGGGCUGGGUCCUGUUGCCCCUUCUGAACCAGCAAUGACAGGUGCCUAGGGAUUGUGUCCCUCACUGUCUCUGGGCCUAACCUAGAGUAAGGUGGGUGGAGGGCCAAGGAAAUGCCAAAAUUGGGGUGGGUUUGGUCCAGGGACACUUGGAGGAUCAGAAAGACAAACUGCGCUGUCAGCAGGACUGUAGGUAGCUAUUUGCCUGUUCUCUCACCUCCCUCCCUCCCUCCCUUCUUUCCUUCCUUCUCUCCUCCUUUUCCCUCCCUUCUUUCCUUUUACCUUCCCUUUCACUGAGCAUCUGUUAUGUGCCAGUUGCUACUGUAUUAGCUGAUGAAGAAGCUUUGGCCUUUCUAAUCCUCUCAAAACUUUCAACCUCAAGAGGAGGACAAAUGAAUAUAUGAUCACAAUACAGCAGUGGCUUUUGAACAUUAGCGAGCGUCUGACUCAUCAGAGGCCUUGUUUAAACCAGACCACUGGGCUUCACUCCCAGAGUUUCUGAUUUGGAGUGGGGUCUAAGAAUUUACAUUUCUAAGUUCCCAGGAGCUGCUGCUGCUUCUGGUCUGGGGACCACACUUUGAGAACAAGCAAAACAGUGUAGAAAGCGCUGUCUAGGAGAAGCAGGUCACAAGGCCUGUUGGAAGUGCGGGGAGGGACCCAGGGCAGGGCUGACCUGGUCUGAGUCCCAAAGGGCAGGAUGGAGCCC